UAGGCUUCCUGUUGCCUCUUUAAUUUUCCUGAACUAUCUGCAUAAAAGUGCACAGGUUAUAGCCCAUGAUGGACUUCUCUCCGAUGGGCUGCCAGGGCUGCAUGGCUGUCUCUUGGAUGCUGCCAGCCUCCACAGCACGACCCCCCUCAAUGCAGAUGGAUGUCAUCUCCUCGUUCCUUCUCCUGAGCUCUGCCACAUCCUCAGCCAUCCGCUGCCGUCCAUAUGCAUCUACUUUCUUCCAAAAGAAUACAUGUACACCAGUGUGAUGAGUCUUACUCAGGCAGACUGAGGUGGAUCUGUGGAGUGGAGAGGCAGUAAAGCAGGAUCAUGCAGCUGGUCAGGAAGGUACCCAGGACCAGGCCUUUGCACAUGGACCGCCACUGCCUCCCUUGCUUGCCAGCCAUGGUCCAGCAGUGUCUAGGAUUACCUGAAAACACAGGACAUCAUCAUCAGGACUGCGGUAAGACGAGCCACCUGCUGACUCAGCUGUACAGGUAACAAACUGACAUUUGCCACCUGGAAUUUGUGACCCGAUGCAGGUCACAGUGGGUCACAUAAUGCAUGGCAGAGUUCUGAGCUAUAUACAUAUGUAGGGCACAUUAUUUUCAGCUUGUUCGAGAACUUGUUGUUAUCUGGUGCAACCAAUGGUGGACAAAAUAUUUAGAUUCUUUACUUCAAUAAAAGCAGCAAUAUUAAAAUUUGUUGGUCCUCUGCUACUAAAGUAAAAGUAUUUAAGUAUUAUAACCAAAAUAUACUUAAGGUAUCAAAAGUAAGAGUACUCAUCCUGCAGCAAAAUGGCCCCUGUGACUGAUAUACUUUUACUUUUGUGGCUGCUUGAGGUAGAGCGAGUUUUAAAAACACUUAAGUUUAGUUCAGUGGUUCACAAUCUAAAGGUUUGGCCCCAAUGAUCACAGAAGAAUCUGAAUAGCUGUGAGAUGAAAAAGGGGGGGAAUAUCAAAGUUCAGACACAAAAAAUAAUAUUUUUUACAAUUAUAGUUAGAUUUAUUUUUUUUUAACCCCUUUGGACCUCAAAACAGUUGUUUAUUACAAUCUGAGAAGUCUUCAAGUCUUCAAAGGAAAUGAUUUGCACUAGACAUGAAAUGUAACAAGGGACCCCAUCCAGACACUGCCUACUGGUCAAAUCUCAAACAAUUCAUUUUAAGUUAUGGUCUUUUUUAAACACAGUUUUUGGUAAAAUCUUAGUCUGCAUUGCAACAAGUAAUUACAGCUGUCAAAUAAUAAGAUGCACAUUAUAUGUAUUAUAUAUACAAUAUUGCACAUAAUAUUUCCCUCUGAAAUGUAGAGGAGUGUAAAGUAACAUACUUGAAUAGAUGCACUUACUUACUUUCUACCAUUGAGAGCAACAAGAAGUGUAGAGUGAAAGUGACAUACAGAUGAAAUGGCAGAUUAGCUAUUAGCUAUUUCAACUGCAUUAUUACUAGAGAUGGGAAUUUUGUUCAACAUUGUAGCUUCAGAACAGUUCUGUAACUCACUAUGUUACUAUUUUGAAGUCAGAAGACAGAAAAUCUGAGAUACAGGAUUCAAAUUAAACCCAAUUUUUCCUUGUACCAUUUGUGUGUGUCUGUGUCUGUAGCUGGUCGUGUCGUCCAUCAUCUGAUAAGCAGUUUGGGGCAUUUCCCUCCUUCU